UACGAAGGGGGCUAGCGUUGCUCGGAAUCACUGGGCGUAAAGGGUGCGUAGGCGGCUUUUUAAGUCAGGGGUGAAAUCCUGGAGCUCAACUCCAGAACUGCCUUUGAUACUGAGGAGCUUGAGUCCGGGAGAGGUGAGUGGAACUGCGAGUGUAGAGGUGAAAUUCGUAGAUAUUCGCAAGAACACCAGUGGCGAAGGCGGCUCACUGGCCCGGUACUGACGCUGAGGUGCGAAAGCGUGGGGAGCAAACAGGG
rnacentral:rRNA from 1 species